AUGCGGCGGCCGUCGGGGUGCUACGAUGGAGCACCACCGCGCCUGCGGCGGAGCUGCACUGAAGCUUCGCCGGCGACAUCGGGUGCUGCAAUGGGAGAUGCGACGGGAGCCAAUGCUGCGAUGAAGCGCCACUGCCCGGUGGGGUGCUGCAGUGAAGCAUGCGGUGGCCGUCCGGGUACUGCGAUGGAGCUCCGCCGUGCCCGGUGGCAGCGCUGCACUGAAGCUUCGUCGGCGGCCAACGGAUACUGCGAUGGGAUAUGGGAGAUGCGACGGCAGCCGGUGCUGCGAUGGAGCACCAUCGUGCGGCGAGGGGAUGCAAUGAAGCAUACGACGGCCGUCGGGGGUGAUGCGAUGGAGCACGGCGAAGCCGGCGGCUGCGAGCUUUGCUGGCGCCCGUCGAUGAAGCGUCGAUGCGCUGCUGAUGAGGGGGCGCGACUGCUGCUACGAGCCAGGCGGCGUUGCUUCCCUACGGCGAGUCGGUGA
rnacentral:rRNA from 1 species